rnacentral:rRNA from 1 species
GACGAACGCUGGCGGCGUGCUUAACACAUGCAAGUCGAACGGAAAGGCCCUGCUUGCAGGGUACUCGAGUGGCGAACGGGUGAGUAACACGUGGGUGAUCUGCCCUGCACUUCGGGAUAAGCCUGGGAAACUGGGUCUAAUACCGGAUAGGAGCCAUCUUUAGUGUGAUGGUUGGAAAGUUUUUUCGGUGUAGGAUGAGCUCGCGGCCUAUCAGCUUGUUGGUGGGGUAAUGGCCUACCAAGGCGGCGACGGGUAGCCGGCCUGAGAGGGUGGACGGCCACAUUGGGACUGAGAGACGGCCCAGACGCCUACGGGAGGCAGCAGUGGGGAAUAUUCCACAAUGGGCGCAAGCCUGAUGCAGCGACGCCGCGUGGGGGAUGACGGCCUUCGGGUUGUAAACUCCUUUCGCUAGGGACGAAGCUUUUUGUGACGGUACCUAGAUAAGAAGCACCGGCUAACUACGUG